rnacentral:rRNA from 1 species
GACGAACGCUGGCGGUGUGCUUAACACAUGCAAGUCGAACGGAAAGGCCCUGCAUAUUUGGGGUGCUGGAGUUGCGACCGGGUGAUUAACACGUGAGUAACCUGCCCUUGACUUUGGGAUAUCUUCAUGCAACUUGGGCUAAUACCGGAUAGGAGCACCUGCUGCAAGGUGGGGGUUGGAAAGUUUCGGCGGUUGGGGAUGGACUGGCGGCGUAUCAGCUUGUUGGUGGGGUAGUGGCUUACCAAGGCUUUGACGGGUAGCCGGCCUGAGGGGGUGACCGGCCACAUUGGGAUUGAGCUGCGGCACAGACUACUACGGGAGGCAGCAGUGGGGUAUAGUGCACAAUGGGAUGAAGCAUGAUGCAGCAACGCCGCGUGCGGGAUGACGGCCUGCGGGUUGUAAAGCAAUUUCGCCUGUGACGAGGCGUGGGUGACGGUAAUGGGUAAAGAAGCACCGGCUAACUACGUG